rnacentral:rRNA from 1 species
GCGCAUACGGUGGAUGCCUAGGCAGUCAGAGGCGAUGAAAGACGUUGUAGCCUGCGAUAAGCUUCGGGGAGGUGGCAAACAACCUUUGAUCCGGAGAUUUCUGAAUGGGGAAACCCACCCGUCAUAAGGCGGGUAUCUUACGGUGAAUACAUAGCUUGUAAGAGGCAAACCGGGAGAACUGAAACAUCUAAGUAACCCGAGGAAAAGAAAUCAAUUGAGAUUCCCACAGUAGCGGCGAGCGACCUGGGAACAGCCCUUAAGUCAGUUUAGUGUUAGUAGAAGGCUCUGGAAAGUGCCGCCAUAGCAGGUGAUAGCCCUGUAUACGAAAAUGCUUUACUGGUGAAAACGAGUAGGACGGGACACGAGAAAUCCUGUCUGAAGAUGGGGGGACCAUCCUCCAAGGCUAAAUACUCCUGACUGACCGAUAGUGAACCAGUACCGUGAGGGAAAGGUGAAAAGCACCCCGACGAGGGGAGUGAAAUAGACCUGAAACCGGACACCUACAAACAGACGGAGCCCAAGAUGCGUUCUGGGUGACGUCGUACCUUUUGUAUUAUGGGCCAGCGACUUAAUUUAACGAGCAAGCUUAAGCCGAUAGGCGUAGGCGUAGCGAAAGCGAGUCUGAAUAGGGCGUCAAGUUCGUUGUAUUAGACCCGAAACCUAGUGAUCUAGCCAUGAGCAGGUUGAAGGUGAGGUAACACUCACUGGAGGACCGAACGGGUGCCUGUUGAAAAAGGCUCCGAUGACUUGUGGUUAGGGGUGAAAGGCCAAUCAAACUGGGAAAUAGCUGGUUCUCCGCGAAAGAUAUUUAGGUAUCGCCUCGGACGAAUACCUCAGGGGGUAGAGCACUGGAUGGGCUAGGGGGACUUACCGUCUUACCAAACCCAACCAAACUCCGAAUACCUGAGAGUACUAUCCGGGAGUCACACGGCGGGUGCUAACGUCCGUCGUGGAGAGGGAAACAACCCUGACCUACAGCUAAGGCCCCCAAUUCGUGGCUAAGUGGGAAAGGAUGUGGAAAUCCCAAAACAACCAGGAGGUUGGCUUAGAAGCAGCCAUCCUUUAAAGAAAGCGUAACAGCUCACUGGUCUAAAUAAGGGUUUCUGCGCCGAAGAUGUAACGGGGCUCAAGCCACGAGCCGAAGCUUAGGGUGCAUCGCAAGAUGCGCGGUAGCGGAGCGUUCUGUAAGCCUGCGAAGGGCGACCCGUGAGGGCGCCUGGAGGUAUCAGAAGUGCGAAUGCUGGCAUGAGUAACGACAAACACUGUGAAAGACAGUGUCGCCGAAAGUCCAAGGGUUCCUGCGUAAAGUUAAUCUUCGCAGGGUUAGCCGGUCCCUAAGGCGAGGCCGACAGGCGUAGUCGAUGGGAAUGCAGUGAAUAUUCUGCAGCCAGUGGAUGGUGACGAAUUGCGUAUGUUGUCUGACCUUACUGGAUUGGUCGGGCCUCGAAGCAGUUCCAGGAAAUAGCCUCCACAUUAGACCGUACCCGAAACCGACACAGGUGGACUGGUAGAGUAUACCAAGGCGCUUGAGAGAACUAUGUUGAAGGAACUCGGCAAUUUACCUCCGUAACUUCGGGAUAAGGAGGCCCAUUGCUCGCGCAAGCGGGCAGUGGGGGCACAGACCAGGGGGUGGCAACUGUUUAACAAAAACACAGGGCUCUGCGAAAUCGUAAGAUGACGUAUAGGGUCUGACGCCUGCCCGGUGCCGGAAGGUUAAGAGGAGAGGUGCAAGCCUUGAAUCGAAGCCCCGGUAAACGGCGGCCGUAACUAUAACGGUCCUAAGGUAGCGAAAUUCCUUGUCGGGUAAGUUCCGACCUGCACGAAUGGCGUAACGACUUCCCUGCUGUCUCAACCACAGGCCCGGUGAAAUUGCACUACGAGUAAAGAUGCUCGUUACGCGCGGCAGGACGAAAAGACCCCGGGACCUUCACUAUAGCUUGGUAUUGGUGUUUGGUUCGGUUUGUGUAGGAUAG